rnacentral:rRNA from 1 species
GUUUAUGACCAUACCACACCUACAUGCCAGAUCUCAUCAGGUCUCAGAAGCUAAGCAGGGUCGGGCCUGGUUAGUACAUGGAUAGGAGAAAUAAUAAAUU